rnacentral:lncRNA from 1 species
ACUUUUCCAAAUCAAACAAGUCCUAUUUUCGACCAACCCAAAAAUAUUUUAAUCCACCAAUAUUUUCAAGAUUUACUAAUUGACUUUUCAUCAAAAUAUCAAUCUUAAUUGUUUCAAGUCUCAAGUAGAGCCAAAUAAAAAUUCUUAAGUCUCAUCCCCAAGUAUAUUUUCUAUCUACAUAAGAGUUUCAUACAUGAUCUACAUACAAAUUUCAAUCCUCGAAGAAUAUUUCAAUGAAUAUUAUAAAAUAUUUUCUUGUCCAAACUUUAAACAACUUUUUAUAAAGGAACCUCAACUUGCCACCAAAAUAAUUAACUUGAACUAGAGGCAAUAUCCACAGUGCCUGAUAUCAAGUUAAACUU